GGGGCUGUAGCUCAGUGGUAGAGCGUCCGCUUCGCAUGCGGAAGGCCCGGGGUUCAAACCCCCGCAGCUCCA
rfam:Trichuris suis scaffold74.11, whole genome shotgun sequence.